AAUAAUACAAUUCAAAGAUACAUUGAAUCUAGACUUUUCUCUCUAAAAUAUCUUGCUUUUCAUGGUAUCAGAGCCAUCAAUGGCGUCCUCUACUAGUUCAACCUCUGAUACUACGGGUCUACAAGUUCUACAAGUACCACUGCUUCUAAUCAUGGCAUCAAUCCAUCAUUGUUGCUUCUCUCUAAUAUGGCGAGUAUGAUGACAAUGAAGCUAGACUACAAUAACUAUUUGGUUUGGAGGCACCAAAUUGAAGUAAUCUUGGAGGCCGACUCUUUGAUCAAUUUCAUUGAAGACUCCAAUGGAGCUCCUGAUCCAUUCAUGAAGGACAGCUUGGGAAUUAUACCACUGAAGCAAAUCCUAAAUAUGUUCACUAGAAGAAUCGUGAACAAGCAUUGUUUACGUUUAUCAAUUCUUACUCUUACAGUGGGGCAGAAAUCAGGUAAAGGAGUAUGGAAGAUUCUCAAGAAAUGUUUUGCCUCUAUUUCUUGUUCUCAUGUUCUCGGUUUAAGGGAUGAGUUGAUGAGUCUCAAGAAAGGAACUAAGACAAUUGAUAGCUUCUUUCAGAGGAUUAAAGAAAUUUGUGACAAAUUGAGUGCUAUUGUUGUUUGCGUAGAUGAAGAAGAGCUAAUUCAUCUAGCACUUAAAGGCACUUCCUCCUGAGUAUGAUGCAUUUUGCUCUGCAAUCAAGACCAGAAAUGAUGUGUUUAGUCUUGAAGAAUUGAACACUCUAUUGAAUGCUGAAGAAAGAUCCAUCAAGAAACAAUCCGGUUACAAAGAAUCUACAUCAAUAGCUAUGUUUAUGAAUCACUUCAAUAAUAAUUUCAAUAAUCGUGGCAGAGGUAAGAACAAUAGCAACAGAUGUCAUGGCAAUGGUAGAGGUAAUGGUAAUGCUCAAUUUCAUGGGAAUUUUGGUCUUGGUAGUGGUGGUCAAGCUUAUGGAUCUUUUGGCAAUGGUUAAGGUUCAUUCUUUGGACCUCCUAGUGGUUCAAGUUCGUCACAAUUUCAUUCUAAAUCUGGCUCACAAUUCUCACAAAAUCAAAGGCCUACUUGUCAGAUCUAUGGCAAGAAUGGUCAUACUGCCCUUGAUUGUUACCAUAGAAUGAAUUUUUCCUAUCAAGGGAGGCAUUCUCCAGCCAAACUUGCUUCAAUGGCUACAAGUUCUAUGGCUGCUGCUGCUAACUCUACUCAGAAUUCACAGUGGCUCACUGAUACUAGAGCAUCUGAUCAUGUUACUCCUAAUUUGGCUCAACUCUCUCUUCAUCAACAACCAACAAUUGGUAAUGAAUCAAUCACAGUUGGCAAUGGGCAAGAAUUACCAGUGACUCAUAUUGACAAUGUUCUCAAUUUAGGAUUUACCUAUGGGGAAAAUUCUUUACAAAGGAUUGAUUAAAGAUGGAGUAUAUCCUAUUCCUCCUCUGUCCACUCUUUCUUCUUCACCAGUCAGCUCUAUUGGAUUUGUUGCUGUGUCUAAUCAAGCAUUACCUUGGCAUAAGAGGCUUGGUCAUCCUUGCUCCAAGAUUCUUCAUUCUUCUUUAUUUGAUUUUUUUUCUAUUCAUGUUCUUGUUAAUAAUGACAUUUGUUCUCAAUGUCCAGCUUGUAUAAGUGCUAAAAUGCACAAGAUUUCUGUUCCUAAACAUGUAUCAGAUUCCACCUUUCCUUUAGAAUUGAUUCACUCUGAUGUAUGGGGUCUUGCUCCCAUUGUUUCAGAACUUGGACAAAGGUUUUAUGUCAUUUUUGUGAAUGAUUUUACUCGUUU